rnacentral:rRNA from 1 species
CCCUUAGAUGUUCUGGGCCGCACGCGCGCUACACUGAUGCAUUCAACGAGUCUAAAACCUGCUCUGAUAGGGGUGGGUAAUCUUUUGAAUGUGCAUCGUGAUUGGGAUAGAUGAUUGAAAUUUUUCAUCUUCAACGAGGAAUGCCUAGUAAACGCAAGUCAUCAGCUUGCGUUGAUUACGUCCCUGCCCUUUGUACACACCGCCCGUCGCUCCUACCGAUUGAAUGAUCCGAUGAAUAUCAUGGAUUGAGGAUGCAAGUAGGUUCACCUAUCUUCAUCUUCGAGAAGUGAAGUAAAUCUUAUCAUUUAGAGGAAGGAGAAGUCGUAACA